UGUGUUUGGAGUUUUGCUAAUGCAUCACAUUAAUGUUAAAUGUUUUUGCUUUGACUGCUCAAUACUGUUUUACAGGAGCAAAUGUGAACUUUUCAGGGGAGAUCAUAUUUAUAUCAAGCUAUUUGUUUACAUAAUGUAUUGACUUCUUUGCAGAGAGGAAGCAGGAUUUUCAAGGAAGUACAAUAGCAUUCAUAUUCUGGUGAAGUUUUGUAUGCUAAAUAGUUUCUGUGACUGCUUUUAAGAGUGGAAAGCUUAGUUCGAAGGGCUUCAAUUCCAAUUAGAUGAAUUAGAUAAUUCAAUUAGUCUGAUUAGAUGCAACAAAUGAUGGGAUCCAAAGUUAUUGGUUCCUUUCUGUUGCCCUCAGUGUGAAAGAACAGAGAUUAACAUGAGGGAUGCUGAUGAUCUUUCAUGCAGCUAGCAUAUGCUUCUGUCCAGAGUGAAAAUGAGAUAAAUAUAAUAGAACAGCUAGCUACAUAAGCAAGUGCUAUGAGACUAAUAAAGAAUGGUAUGUCUAUUUCAUUUUUUUUAGUAUAAUAAUGUUGUUUAAAAAAAAUUGCUCUGCUAUUGACUGGCACAUUUUUCUUGUAUUCUAUGAUUUUAUGCAAGGCUUAACCCUAAAUUAAGCAAUUGGUCUUUUCAUUGCUGAACUACAGCAAUUUUUGUUCACUUUCUAGCCUUUGGACUCUGGCUGAAAGUUCACUAGGUAAAGCUGACAUAUAGCAGAAGGUAAUGAAACAGCAAUCUUUUGUCAAGAAGGAGGUUAAUAGUAAUGCAUAAAUGAAGUAAAAAAUCCAAUUUGAGGGAGAAUACAGUAAAAUAUGUGAAAUAGAGUGUGUAGACAAGGUUAGCUGUGCAAAUAGAAGAGGCUGCAAGCUCAUUUAUAGAGCUGUGAUUUGGGAUUUAGCUGUGUGAUUCUCAUUCAUCAUACUGCUGGGUUUUUUUGCUGUAGUCUCUGAAAAGAGAUCAUUGCACACAGGCAGUUUAAAGGAAGAUUCAGUAAGACACAUGCAGAAUGGAAUUGAGCCACGUGCUGAGGAGCUUUAAGAUGUUUCGAUUUAGCAUCCAGAUAGUCCUGAGUUCUUGUGCGUUCUCCAUACAGAAAAUGCUGUCUGUGACAAGCAGAUCUGUGGCCUAAGUGAGGAGAGAGCUGAGGGAGGAGCUACUGAAGAAAUGAGAGGUGAUUAUGUAAGCACCGAAUACAGAUAGCUCCCCUUUAUUGGUGUUGCAGUAAGGGGGAGGGAGUGUGCUCAGGCACUUAGAUUUGCACUUUUGUCUUGAAUUGCUUGUUUUAAUAUCAGGUGCAAAUAAGCAGUCAAUGUUUUUGAGCUGUUAGGAAAUUGGCACUUUUCCUGUUGUCCCCUACUGCCCUCAAAAAGGCAGGGCAGAGCACUUGGUGCCACAGUGUCUGUGCAUUACCCCAGUGUUUCAAAAGAUGAUAUUUGUAAUAACUAUCCUUGCAAUUCAUUCUAGUGGUGUGUGACAGCAAGCAUAGAUUGCUCCUAAAAGCUGUGGAUUGUGUUACUUUGUCCCAGUAAACUAGGAAGGGAGGACAGCUUUGUUGGUCAGGGUUUAAGAACUCAUCAUAUCUCAAAAUUCAGAAAGUUCUAAAGAUGAGUUCUUGAAUAGUUUGAGCAUGCUUUCCUUAUCUUUGUUGUUCUUUUUCCUGUUCUGCAAAAUGCAGUGGGUUUCAGCACGCUUUGUUACCACUAAGUAAAAUCGCCACUGGUGAUUUUUGUAUAUACCAAAAUGAGAUUUAAAAAAAAGCACUAUCAUCUUUAAGCCUAACAUAAGUAAGCUGGGUUAGUUGCUCACACUAGUGCAUUCUGUUGUUAAUGUUACAUUGCUUUGCUUGGGGUUGGUUUUCUGCGUUUGGUUUGUUGGGUUUUUUUUGUUUAUUUGGGUUGGUUUGGAGAUUUAAUAGCUGAAGAAAACAGAAGUAAGGAAGGCAGACCAUAAGAGUAAAGACUUACUGAAGUCCAGUUGUCAUCUAACUCCCUUUGUGUCUGGGGGUGAAUCAUACAAUGCAGUAGAGAGGGACCAUCUUCAUGUCUGAUCAGCGCUGUGGUUCUUUUCACAGCAUUAAUGGAGUCAGAACCAUGGAUUUUUGCACAUCACUGCUGCUUCUGGUGAAGGUGGGCUAACCUAUGGAGUGCUCACCCUCCUGCUUUUUAAUUGCUUCUGUGCUGAAAGUGUUUUCAAUGAGCACCAAAUGAACAGCGAGAUGCAUAACAGUUGAAAAAUGAGAUGGAUAUUUUACACCAAGAUCACUUGCCUGAGCUGCAAUCUCUUUCUGUUACCUGGAUUGAGAUAAGUUUCUACUAAGUGUUGGGCUGAGUUUAAAAAGGUACAUAAGUAUGAAGAGAUCUGCUUGCUCAAAAUCGUAGUCACUUGUGUUGAUGCUCAUUGUGUUCUACCUGGUUAUGAUCUCGUUAUGAGAGAAAUUAGAGUCGUAAAGGCAAGAGAGCACCCUGCAUCUUAAGGUAACGAUUUCCUAAGGCUGUCUGUAGAAUCUGGGAGAGUUUUAGAAUCAAUAGCAGAGUGGAGAUGUUUAUGCACACUUUCCAGUUUUGCCUCUCAGUCCUAAAAGCUGUAAUCUAGUUCUGAUUACAGAUCAGCCAGACAUGGGAGACUUCUCCUUAUCCCAUAUUACACUAAUAGUCUUUACAUAUUAAGCAGAUAAUACUCGAUCCAAAGCUAUCUUUUUUGGUGCAUUAAAAAUGUCCAGAUCUAAAAUCUAUUAAAAUGCAACCAAGUUAAUUUUAGAACUUUGGGAGGCGAAUGCUACCAGUGCAGGGAAUUCAAGGACUUGCCCUGGAAAUUCCUGAGAUGUAACUCUUUGAAGCAUAGAACGAAUGUUUAAAAGCUUUAUGGCUUUCUGAGAAUCAUGGAUUGGACUCUAGAUGAUUAGGGCAUUUGGUUUCAAAGGCCAAGUAAUAAUUCUUAGAUGCUUUUACACACCAGAGCUAUUCUUCAUGUUGUCAUUUCAGCACAUAGCAGUGAGUUCUGAGUUAUUUGCUAGGAUUUGGGAAGAUGGGAUAAAUCACUGAUAGAAGAAAGUUCUAUUGCUGUUGUAAAAGGAGAUCAAUAAGACUUUUAUAAUGCACUUUACGUAUUUUACUGUAGCGUAUAUGCUAAUUGUAAUGCAAUAGGAGUACAGCCAUCAUCUGACAUGUCUCUUUAUCAAAACCAGCACAAGUAUCUUGGAAAAUAACAAUAAAAUUUAAAAAAAAUAUAUAUCGCAGUAAUCCCAAAGUUUGUACUGAGUUGUGAGCUACCCUGUAUUAACCUUGUAGCUUUGGUAUUACUUCUAGUCUUUUCAAGAUGGUAUGGGCAGAGGAGCAGCUGUUGGAAUUGGUCAUCUUCAGUCAUUUUAUCUUUUUAUUUUCAAAAAUAAAGCUCCUAGUGAGUCUAUAAAUACUUGAAGCCAAAGAGAUGUAUGUUAUUAACUUUAGCUUUAACUCAUACAAAUAUGAAUGGAAUCUGAAUAAGGUGCUAGAACGUCUUCAACUCUAGCAACAAAGCAAGUCAAAUUCUUCACAUUUACAAAUUAACAUUUGAUUUUCCAAAAGCUUUUUUUAUGAAAGGAUGACCAAGAUUCAUUUUCUGGGACAGCAGAAACAGCAGGUUACCAAGCUUAGCUGAUGAAGGUGUUUGGCUGUUCGGCAACUGAACUCGGUUUGCCCCAACUCCAAGCAUGUUUGUAUUUUUCAAUUAUUAUCUCUACUCCUUAUAAUAAGAUGUCAUUGCUUUUAAUUGCCUGUCAUCUGCCAUAAACUUAUGCCUCUCAGAGGUCUGAGUGGAAGUGUUCCUGAUACGCUUAUGCUUUAGGCAGCCCAGAUUUCGUCUCCACUAAUAGCAAUGAGUGUCUGAUAGUUACUGUCAAAACCAACAUUAAACACUGAAAAAAUAUCAAGAGUCUUUUGCUUUUGUUGUGAUUAUUAUCAGGACAAGGCAAGAUCUUUCAUUAUUUAAAGAAAAAAUAAAUUGCUAUGGUCUUGGGCAUUUUGAAACUUCUUUACAGAUUUAACAAGCCCUCUGGCUAAAAGCCAACAUCGCCUUCUAAUCUUUUUGUCAUUACAACAAUUCCUUCUUUAUCCUGCAAUGUGUCUGUUCUCUAUUGGUGUUAUCAUAAUUGGAGAUGGAAGUAUUCUUUAUCUUCCUUGUGAAUUAUUACCAAUAUAUGAUAAGACUUUAAAAAAAUUAUUUUAAAAAGCUAAAUUUUAGAAUAAAAAGAUCUGUUUGCAUAUGUCACAGGCUUACCAGGGUUCUCACGCAUCUCCGUUUUCACCCAAAUAUUCCAUUUUUGUUCAUCUUUGAAUCCUUGAAUGGAGAAUCGGUAGGCAUAGCGCAGACACUUUACAAGUGUUGAUGUGGAGAUGAAAUAGUUUGGUUGAAUUUCAAGGAAUUGAUGUGAUUCUUUAAGGACAAUGUUACUAUAUAAAUGGUUUCUUAGAAAAAAAAAAAAUAAUAAUAAUCAGAAGAGACUUAUUGUUAAGUGUAUGUAUAUCCAAAAUGUUUGAGACAGUGGAAGAAAACCUUAAAUGUUUCAUGAGGUACAUGCUGUUAGAACCCGUGAUCUUUCAAGUAUGCUGGAGUAGCUACAUACCAAGACUUGAAGUGGGUCCUACGCCUGAAUUCUAUCAGUAGCAUUCUUUGGCAGGAGUAGAUGUGCAACACCGAAGCUGCAUGCCACCCAUCAUUGCCACCCAUGCUUUACUUAGACCAAAGUUAAUUACAAAGACAAGCCUGUCCCCUUCAAAAUGCUCCCCUCUUAUUUGUAAAUAUUUGUGCCAGAGAUGAGAUUUGUAAUAGACUUCUUAUUGAGAGUAACAAAAAAAAUGAAGUGGAAAAUAUUGCAUCAUAUUUUCAGUGCAUCUUCCUUGUGCUUUAAAAAAAAAAAAAAAAUAUCCUUUUCUGAAGCAUAUGUAAUCCAUGAAAUCUGAAAAUUGCUUUGAAGCUUUGGCCUUGUACCGAGCUGUACUGCAUAAUUGGUUUCUUCAAGCAAACUCUGCAUCAUAUGCUUUGUUAUAGUCUGUUAUAAGUGAUUUAAUAGGGCAUGUCAUUUUUAAUUACUUUGGAAGAGCGUUCAUAAGCCUAAAAAUGCAAGUCAUGUCCUCUUGGCACUACAGCUUCUAAAAGUGUUUUUAUGUAACCUGCAGGAACUAGCAUGGCAUUUUUUCAUCCUCUAAGUGCAUGAUAGUUUUACAUUUUGGUGAUCUGCAGGAUGAGUGAAGCACAUGAUUCAAGGUAAAUUAGUUUUAACUGAGAUCUCAGGAAGAAAUUGCUGCCAGUUUCUGAGCUUAAAUGGCCUAAAAUUAGCUCAUCCAACUCCACUAUACAUCACUGUCUUAGCUGGGCUCUCAUUCCCUCCACACUCUUAAUAUCAUCUAAUGCAGUAUAAUCUCUAACUAACAAGAUGGGUAAAAUGCCAUGCUGCUGUAAUCUCCCCAUCCAUAUCACAGCUGCCACUGAUUCCAGUGGCCAUCUGUAGCAAAUAAUUGAUUAUUUUUUUUCUUUUGUACUGAUCUUGAGUUCUAGGCAAACCAUUAGAACUUAAAAACGAUACAAGAAUUCCUUUAUAAGAGAAGAUGGUUUGCUUUGGAAAAAAAAGUCAGGUGUGUUUCAACUUGCAAUCUAUUGCAACUAAUGUUAGCUACCUUUGGUCUUCACUUCAUUCAUUACUUUCUUUGCUGCUUCUGUGCUCUGUUCCUGUGCAGUGGAAGAAUACUUUUGGAUGUAACCCAUAAAGGAGAAUUUGCCACGCUGCUGUUCUGGCUGCAGCCUUUGCGUGUUUGUAGAGUUUUACCCAACUCUGGGUUUGUCAGCAAUCCAGGCUGCACAACACAUAAAUGUAGCAGUGCCGGGAGCCAACAUGUUUGUGGAUUUAAUGGGAAUUGCAAAACGCUGAAACAUCCUGUUCCAGAAAGGAGACUAAUGCAGGUGCGGUUUGGUUAAGCUCUGAAUUUUGGGACAAGCAGUAGGGUUGUCAAAGAAAUGAAAUGCCUGGGAAAGGUUCUCAACCAACAAAGCUUGCUCUUGCUGCUUGUCGGAAGCAAGCCAUCCAGCAGAGCUGGGGCUGGCCAUUGGCCAGCUACAUUUGGUCAUUUGUCAGCUGCAAUGUUUCCAUCAAGGUCUGAAAACUUCCAGUAUUUGAAAACAUGCAGAGUUGCUACCCAGUGUGACAGUUGAGCAAGCUUGCAGUGUGUGUUGGAACAUCAAAAUAGUAUUGAAAAUAAUGUCCCAUUUUGUUUUUUCUUAAUUUCUCAACAUAGAAGAAAACUAGAGAGAUUAAUUUCUAAAUGAAAUGAGAAGAAAUGAUGGUGUGGGGUGAGUAUGUAUACACUGAAUGUGGGAAUAAGCUGACUUCAACUGAAAGCUAUCAUGCUUGGUGUACAGUGAGCCAAGUCAAUCAUCAAUCAUCAACAGCUGAUGAUGACAGAAAAUUCAUAGCUUUCCUUUUCCAGUGCUUGAAAAGCCCCUGCUUCUGCCAUUGAUUUUAUUUAUGUGUUUGAUAGGAGCAAGAGGUUAGAAAAAGCCUCUCAGGAGAAAGAAGUGACAAGUUUGAAGACAUAAGUGUGUGGCAGAAAGUGAGAAAGAAUUGCAAUUUCUCAGCUCUUUGGCAGUUACCUACAAGGUGCAGAUGAGACACGCGAGAGCCACUUUAUCCUCCUGGAACAUGUAAGUAUAAAUGUAGAGUUAAGGAGGUGAAUGAAUGCCUGAAAAGCAAACCAGAGCGGCUUGCUCUGUGCUGCUGCUGUUUGCCUUUCGUGUAAGCCCUUGUUACCCAAACCUGCUUAUUACGAAUCAAGUGUUGAGUGUUGCAUCAAUUGAGUGCAUUAGCAUCCCUUUGUUGUGAACAUCAUGUUACAGCAGAAGCUAUUCUUUCAGAGCAGCGACUUGGCUGUAAAGAAAGCUUUGCUGUCAUGGCCUCCUGUUCCCCUUCCUAAUACUAAUAAAAAUGCAUAGGCUUUUGUGUUGAUAUAGGCUUCCACCUUGCUAACGCUGCUUAUUCAGCUGGCCUACAUAAGAUACAAAUACUCAGUUGUAACCUCUGAAGAUGGAAGAAACUGAAAAGUUUUCUUGAGAGUAAGAGUUGGAUAAUUCAUUUUCAUUUUAGUGACUGUAUUCUGAAUAUGCAUUAAAUUUCAAUCCAGCACUUAAAAAGCUCAUGCUAUAUGUAGGGCUGUAUUUUCAGUGGAAGCUUAUAUCCUUUGUCUUGGGAAGUACCCCAUCUGCCAAGUAGCACCCUGAUAAUUGAUUUGUGUAUGCAGAGAGGGUUGCUAUGCAUUUGUUUAUUUCCAUGAGUUGUUGUGGGAUUUAGAAGUUUCACUAACAGGAUGGACUCCCUUUGUAUUUGUUUAUGGUUAUGUCAAGAUUCACCAAAUGGCAAUACAUGAUGUGAGGGAAUAAUACUGAUCAGAAAUAUAUUUGCAUUAGCUGCAGUUGCAGGCAGGCUGUAGUCUUACCUGGUGCAAAUGCUCAAGCAAACACUUCUUAGUUUUAUUUUCAUUUUAUUUCAAGAUGAAGUGUAUAAUAUCCUUUACAAUCAAGUCACGAGGAAGGAAAUGGGAUAGCUUAAGGUUAACUGAAAAAUAGAAAAAGCAAUACUUAAUUCUUCCUAGACCCCUUAAAAUAUUCUAAUUAACAAAGGAAAUACUAUUUCAGAAAAUGACUGAAUUUUAAAAUAGGUAGAAUUACUAAAUAGACCGUGUUUUUCUGUUUAAUAAAGUAAUUCCAGUCUUCCUAAACUGUGGCUCCUUUAUAAUAUAAUAGUGACUCCAAGACGCUUCCAUUUGCUUUUCAGUGGAGCUGAUUACCAAAGACUUUUCUAAUGUGUCCCUGGAGAAUCACGGAGCGAUACAGACAAUUCCAGCAUCUCACUUGUACCUCAGGAAGCAAGAAAGAGCUCCAUUUAAGAUGGAAAAGGUAAACCAAAUUGUUACAGCAAUCACACACAAUGGACUGCGGGUUCUGCUUUCUCUUUGUUACGUUAAAA